rnacentral:lncRNA from 1 species
AAUUAUAAAUAUAUAUAUCAACAAACUUAUUUUAUAUUAAUUAAAAUUUUUGCAAGUGUUAACUCCCUAGGUAUUUUAUAAAUAACUAGUGUAGAAACUCGCUCGAUGUAGCAGAUAUAAUUAUAUUUGAUUAAAUUUAAUAAUAUAAAAAAUACUUUAAAAUUUUUAGAAUAGAAUUAUAAUUCAAUGAAAAUCAACGAACAGAUAAAAAAAAUAAUAGGAAAAAAGAAAUUUGUUACAUAAAAAUUAGACCUUUUUGUACCCUUAUUUAGGGUAUUCUAUACUAACACAGACCAUUUCGUAAAAUAUCACAGUGCCUUCAACUCUUUUUCAGUAAAUCUAUAUCUUAGCCGAUACUUCUCGUCCUCCGAGACCAUUAGAGGAGAGAGAUACACACCAUUUGUAUAAACUAUACAUUACAAAUUUAAAUAGUCGAAAUCGAAAGAGGAGGGUUGGGGGCAAGGGUUGGAGUUCGACUCAUCCGACGUUGAUGGCGAGGGCGAGGGCGAGGGCAGCGUGCCUGUGGGCUUGUGGUUGGAGCGGACGUAAUAUGCAAGGUCGUUGUCGAGGACGUCGUAUGCUGUGCCCACAGGCUUCUCGGGCAACGCUUCUUAGAAAAUAAAAACUAAUAAAGCGGAAAAUCGAAACAACGAUGUUAUAGAGAAAGAAUUAAUGAGACAGGAAGCCAAAGAGGCAUACGGUAUGAAAAAGUAACUGAUAAGACGGAAAGCCGAAGAGACAGACGUUGAAGACAAGCGGUCGCAAUGAUUAGAGAGUUGAAAUAUUGAGAUUGAGAGACUAUAUUUGGUGCUGCCACGUGGUAAAAAUUUAUAAAAAAUAAUGUAUAUAAUAUAAUAAUAAUAAUAUAAAAUAGAUAUAGAUAUAUAGAUAUAGAUAUAGGUACAGAUAUAAAUGUGCAUGCAUUCUAAAUA